rnacentral:rRNA from 2 species
CCUGCGGAGGGAUCAUUACCGAGUUUACAACUCCCAAACCCCUGUGAACAUACCAAUUGUUGCCUCGGCGGAUCAGCCCGCUCCCGGUAAAACGGGACGGCCCGCCAGAGGACCCCUAAACUCUGUUUCUAUAUGUAACUUCUGAGUAAAACCAUAAAUAAAUCAAAACUUUCAACAACGGAUCUCUUGGUUCUGGCAUCGAUGAAGAACGCAGCAAAAUGCGAUAAGUAAUGUGAAUUGCAGAAUUCAGUGAAUCAUCGAAUCUUUGAACGCACAUUGCGCCCGCCAGUAUUCUGGCGGGCAUGCCUGUUCGAGCGUCAUUUCAACCCUCAAGCCCUCGGGUUUGGUGUUGGGGAUCGGCGAGCCCUUGCGGCAAGCCGGCCCCGAAAUCUAGUGGCGGUCUCGCUGCAGCUUCCAUUGCGUAGUAGUAAAACCCUCGCAACUGGUACGCGGCGCGGCCAAGCCGUUAAACCCCCAACUUCUGAAUGUUGACCUCGGAUCAGGUAGGAAUACCCGCUGAACUUAAGCAUAUCA